rnacentral:rRNA from 1 species
UACGUAGGGGGCGAGCGUUGUCCGGAGUUACUGGGCGUAAAGCGCACGCAGGCGGUCUGCUAAGUUUGGAGUGACAGUUGGUGGCUUAACUGCCAAAGUGCUUCGAAAACUGACAGACUUGAGGGCUUCAGAGGGACACGGAAUUCCGGGUGGAGUGGUGAAAUGCGUAGAGAUCCGGAGGAACACCAAUUGCGAAGGCAGCUCGCUGGGACGUUACUGACGCUGAGACGCGAAAGCGUGGGGAGCAAACAGG